GCCGCUGACAGCCAGUCGUCGCCGCCGGCAGAAGUUUCCCCUCACACACACGCCGCGGAGACCCAGUCGCCGAUCGGGUGCCCAAGGCGAGUUCUCUGCCUCUUUCCCAAACGGCCACUUUCUCUUCCCCUUCCGCGCAUCCGCACGACAAAAUAUCCUCCUCCUCCUCCUGAGCCCUGCCUCCUGCCUCGGCGCGGUCGCGGGCGGAGAUCCGGGAGCGGGAGAGAUGGCCAAGGGCGGAGGCGGAGGCGGGGCGGCGCUGCUCCCGGUUUCCGCGGACGCGGGGAAGGGCGACGGCGAGCCCGAGCUCUUCAAGGGCUCCGCCAUGACCCGACGCGGCGCUGUCGCCGCGCUCUCCUACAUGUCCUGCUCCGUUUUGCUGGUGAUGUUUAAUAAGGCAGCUCUAUCUUCUUAUAAGUUCCCUUGCGCGAACGUUAUUACACUCCUUCAGAUGGUGUGCUCAACAUGCCUACUUUAUGUUCUGAGACGGUUAAAGAUUAUUUCUUUCACAAAUAGUGAACCAUCAGUACCUUCUGAUUCACUAUUCUUCGUGCCGUUCAGAAUAUUGUUGCGUACUUCACCUCUUUCAUUGUCUUACUUACUCUACAUGCUAGCUUCAAUGGAAUCUGUGCGUGGAGUAAAUGUUCCUAUGUAUACAACUCUAAGGCGCACAACAGUAGCAUUUACAAUGAUCAUGGAGUAUUUCUUGGCAAAGCAGAAGCACACCCCACCUAUAAUCGGCAGUGUGGCCUUGAUUGUAUUCGGAGCGUUUAUCGCUGGUGCUCGAGACUUAUCGUUUGAUGCUCGUGGGUAUGCCAUUGUCUUCGUCGCCAAUAUAACUACAGCUGUUUAUCUUGCAACGAUAAAUCGUAUUGGAAAAUCUAGUGGCCUGAAUAGCUUUGGCCUGAUGUGGUGCAAUGGACUUGUUUGUGGACCUUGUGUACUGUUCUUGACGUAUAUUCAGGGUGACCUCAAGCGGACUGUUGAAUUUCCGUACCUUUAUUCUCCAGGGUUCCAGGUACAUGAAAUUGAAGAGCUAAUUUUUAUGUUACUCUCCUGCAGCACUUUUGGAUGCACAAAAAACACACAAUCUUGUUUUGUUCUUUAUCGACUUCCCUGGAGAUGCUUGUAUCAUUGUCAUUUUGCGGGCUAAUCAGUUACUGCUAAGGGUUGACCUUUGGCUGUGACUGUCGUGGGGCAUCAGUUUGCAGCUUCCUAUUAUUUCUGCGAUCAUGUAAUGAAGUAUUGACUUGAGCCCAGAAAUUAGUUUGGUUGCGCACAUAUAUUGUUGCAGUUUAGCCAGUGACAUGCUUACACUAGCUUAGGUCCUAUGGCUGCUAUGUUCACGUAGUACCACUUUCUAAGCCUCUUCUUAAUUUCUAUUUACUGCUAAAAGUUUAUGAUUCUGAUAGGAUUGCUCUUCUUGCGCAACAUCUUAAAUCUUGUGGGUUGCUGAUGAAUCUUACUCCUGACUUAUAUCCUUACCGUAUGAUUUUAGUUCAUUACAGUUAAUUUUUGACUUAUCAGGAUCCUUUUAGCAACGCUUGUGUGUUUAUUUUGUAUGCAAAUUUUGUAAAGCGGUCUAGUUUACUUUUUUCCUCGGGAUAGCUAGGGCCUAUUUGUAUCAAUCGUUAUGACAUAAUUCCAUUUGUAGGUGGUCUUGCUAUUUUCAUGUAUGCUAGCGUUUCUUCUAAACUACACCAUCUUCUGGAACACAAUCCUGAAUUCUGCACUCACACAAUCAAUGUGUGGCAAUUUGAAGGAUUUCUUUACUGUUGGACUUGGCUGGGCAUUAUUUGGUGGGCUUCCUUUUGAUCUGCUUAACGUCAUUGGCCAAGGGCUUGGAUUCUUUGGCUCUGGCAUGUAUGCCUACUGCAAGAUCAAAGGAAAGUAGAUAUUAACAUCCACCGGAUCAAAGUGAAGUAGAUACUGAUAUUGGCAGUAUGGCUUAACCGAAGUAGUGUUCAUCAUGCUGUUUGCUCCCUGCCUAUGGGAGAGAAAUUUUGUAGGUUUUCAUGUGUGUGCAUUUAUGGACUCCAGUUGUCCUGGGUAGAACAUGAAUGAACAGCCAUUAACUGGCCAAGGAAAUAGAAUACAACAAGAUUUCAGCAUUU